GGAGUGGUAGUUCAGCUGGUUAGAAUACCUGCCUGUCACUUAGAAAACCUGCCUGUCACGCAGGGGGUCGCGGGUUCGAGUCCCGUCCGUUCCGCCA
rnacentral:tRNA from 1 species